GGAAGGGCCUUGGCUCAGUGGUAGAACACUUGCCUGGCAUGCAGAAGGUCCCAAGGUUCAAUCCUGGCACCUCCA